AGGGGCGUAGCUCAACUGGCAGAGCACCGGUCUCCAAAACCGGGGGUUGGGGGUUCGAGUCCCUCCGCCCCUG
rnacentral:tRNA from 2 species